rnacentral:rRNA from 1 species
AACAACUCACCUGCCGAAUGAAUUAGCCCUGAAAAUGGAUGGCGCUUAAGCGGGCAGCCGACACCACGCCAUUGGAUCAAAUUUGGCCUAAUCCAAUGAGUAGGAGGGCGUGCCGGUUGCGGCGAAGCGUACGUGCAAACGUGCUGUGGAGCGGCCGGUAGUGCAGAUCUUGGUAGUAGUAGCAAAUAUUCAAGUGGGAUCCUUGAAGGACGAAGCGGGGAAGGGUUCCAGGUGAACAUUGAUUGAUCCUGGGUGAGUCGUUCCUAAGUCGCGUACUAACUAGUCACUAGUAUAUCGACGAAAGGGAAACGGGUUGACAUUCCCGUACACGGAUGUGGUGGCGGUGACGCACGUCUGGGGCGAUGACGCUGGUGGUAGCGCUGGGCAGAGUUGUCUUUUCUGUUUAACCUCUCAACCGUACUCUGUGGAAUCCGCUUGUCGGGAGAAACAGGUGCGACCGGGAAUAGCACCGGAAUUUUUCUGGUGUCCAGCUAGCUACUGUCAGACCUUGAAAAAUCGUCUGCUGGGCAAAGUGUAUUGCUUGUUACAAGUAAAUGACUUUGUUGGAAAAAGCCACGCCGUAACGUACCUAUAACCGCAUCAGGUCCCCAAGGUGAACAGCCUCUGUUUUAUAUAGGUAAU